UACAGGGGGGGCAAGCGUUGUUCGGAAUUACUGGGCGUAAAGGGCUCGUAGGUGGCCAACUAAGUCAGACGUGAAAUCCCUCAGCUUAACUGGGGAACUGCGUCUGAUACUGGAUGGCUGGAGGUUGGGAGAGGGAUGCGGAAUUCCAGGUGUAGCGGUGAAAUGCGUAGAUAUCUGGAGGAACACCGGUGGCGAAGGCGGGUCUCUGGGCCGAUACUGACGCUGAGGAGCGAAAGCGUGGGGAGCGAACAGG
rnacentral:rRNA from 1 species